rnacentral:rRNA from 1 species
UACGGAGGGUGCAAGCGUUAAUCGGAAUUACUGGGCGUAAAGCGUGCGCAGGCGGUUUGUUAAGUCCGUUGUGAAAGCCCCGAGCUCAACUUGGGAAUUGCAGUGGAUACUGGGGAGCUAGAGUGCGGUAGAGGGUAGUGGAAUUCCCGGUGUAGCGGUGAAAUGCGUAGAUAUCUGGAAGAACACCGGUGGCGCAAGCGGCUUGCUGGGCUGUAACUGACACUGAGGAACGAAAGCUAGGGUAGCGAAUGGG